ACAUUUAAUUGUGGAUUUCUCUUCACAAAGACCUUCGGAGCUAGAUUUGGGUGAAUCCCUUCCUGUAGAGGUGAUCCUUGGCACCAGUAGUGUGGAAGAGGAGCGAGCUGCUCCAGCCCCCUCAAUGCAGCAAGGUGUUCAAAGUUCUAUGACAUCGUACCUCUCCAAAAGGAUCGGAGUGAAUCA